rnacentral:rRNA from 1 species
UACGUAGGUGACCAGCGUUGUCCGGAUUUAUUGGGCGUAAAGAGCGUGUAGGCGGCUAGAUAGGUCCGUUGUGAAAACUCGAGGCUCAACCUCGAGACGUCGAUGGAAACCAUCUGGCUAGAGUCCGGAAGAGGAGAGUGGAAUUCCUGGUGUAGCGGUGAAAUGCGCAGAUAUCAGGAAGAACACCCGUGGCGAAGGCGGCUCUCUGGUACGUGACUGACGCUGAGACGCGAAAGCGUGGGGAGCAAACAGG